UAGUAGUAGGUAGAACCCUAGCUAGCAAACCAAGACGGGGUCUCCGAUCUCGCGCAAUUCCCCUUGUAUCCCGCAAAUUACUCUUGAUUUAUGCUGGAAAAUACUCAAAUUCGUGAUGAUCCUGUCGACGAGUUGAUUUGAUCCUCACAGAGGCCGCGUAUGGCGGCAGGGAGUUCCUGUUCGACUUCCGGUGGAUGGUGCGCAUCGAUGCUGGCACCACCGAGGAGGUCGCCAUGGGCUGGAUUGAUGACUGCAGGACCUGCUUCUUCCCUGUGCCAGAGAGCGGGAGGAAGAGGAAGAGGGGCGAGCCUGAGCUGGAGGAUGGGGCGUCGUUCGGGGUGGAUGAGAGGUCCGACGAGAACAGCGACACGGUGGAGUCCUCAAUCUAGCCUAAUCUCCUGCCUCUCUCAAGCACUCCCCGUGUAGCAGGCCUGGUGUGUAGACUGCCAUGGCAAGGCUACAUCCAUUCAUUAUGGUCAGCAAGGCGGCCAGCUUGGGGCAAGGCAGUGAGGCUGGAGGAGACGGACAAGUUCUACUAGGUUGUUACUUGUCAAGAAGCUCUUCCUCAGAGGGAUAGCACCGGGUGGGAGGCGGCGUGGCGAUCACGGCGAUGCACAAGGUCUUGCAGGGUCCCCGGUCCAGGGCGUUCCAGAUGCAGGGCCAGCUCCUAGCCGCUGCGCGCGGCGCCGACGAGGGCAAUGCCAAGUUCGCGUGGUAUGGCGCUCCGUCGGCGGAUGUGGCCGCGGCGGUGGAGCAUGGGUUCGGCAGGAUGAACAGCCAGGUCCUUUGCCAUCACGCGCACGGCGAUGACGUCCACCUCUCGCCUGGUUCUUGAUUGUUGAGUAAUUCCUGUUAGUUGUUGCUGAAUUAGGGACUUGAUUCAUGUUGGUUGCUGAAUUGAUUUAUGUCUUAUGUAUACUUGAUUCCGUAGAUUAAUAUCUCUUUUGGUUGGCAAGAAUGGAUCAGACGUAUUUUUGUUUGAAGUUAAGAUUUUUCUUCGCGGGCUAGCGCAAAUCUUCUGCAGGACUACCUCCCCUCUGCAAACCAAUUGAUAUCAAAUAGUGGGACUGAAUUAUUGAUAAUAUUCAGAACUCUAGAAUGGAUAUUUGUACAUUUCAUCGUCUUCAGUAAUACAUAAUAAUGAUUGUUGAUGCCACCAACCCCAACUUGUGAUAAUGAUAUUGAAUUGUUUUAAUUUGGUUGUGUACUCAAAUUUGAAAGCAUUCUACUUUAUUUAUGUCCUGUACAGAUGUACCUGCAGCAUAACUAUUUGAGAUAUGCCACUACAGUAUUAUCAGUCCUUUCAUGUCUCUGAAACGGGGCUUUACACUCUGUGUGUUCUUAUUGUACAUCAACAACAAGAGCAGAGGAAGGCUACUGAUGCAUUUGAGUUCUAUUCUUAUUUCAAAGAAAGUCAUCAAGUUGAUGCAUGUGAGUUCUUGGAUCUAAAGCAUAAUACAAUGAAAGGUAAUUUUUUAUGAAUAGGAAGAUUGACUAAGGGAGGAUUAUGUAUUGAGGUAGGGAAAGUUGUUGUCGUGCGGCCAUAUAGAGAAAUCCUCACCUUGAAGAAUGAAACAAAUGGUAAUCAAAGAUGUUCUUUCUACCAAAGAACCAGGCUGUGCCGAGGUAGUGGUGUGGUUCCGAUGAUGGUGGCGAGGCUAAAAUAAGGGAGAUGACUUGGAGUUAUUUUAAGCAUGAGUUGUGUACUGUUAGACGAUUCCGAGAGAGCAAAGAGUGAGUUGAGAGGGAUGGAGAGAGCACAGAAGGGAAGGAGAAAGGAAUAGGGAGGCGCGGCGGUGGUUGGUUCUCCGGCGGCACUGGAUCGGGCACGGGCGCAGAGCUCCUGCUCGGGGACGCGAAGAUCCAGGGAGGCACUCUCCCAUUCAGUUACCCUUACUAUCGGUUCCUAGGUGCAGCCCCGGCCGCCAUCGCCUGAACGGCGCUGACGCGUGCUUCUCCCCAGGGAGGGCCAUGCCACUGCAGAUGAAACUGAAUCCACUUCCGAGCCGGCGGACAUGACAUGGUUGGUUUCACGGGAUUGACUCGGCUACCUACAGAAGUGCCACCAAUCUGAACCAAGCUGUUGCGUCAAGGCAUGUAGGUUGAUUCAUAUGAUUCUUCAGCGGCAGCAAGUUUUCCAUGUACAUUCCUUCCUAUAAGCGACGGGUGCGACACACACCUCCAACCAACGCUUUCCCCGGUGAUCCCCGGCCACGAGCAUGUCUAUCCCCUACAAGCCGCUACCAGUGCUCCCUCUCCGCUGGAUGCGGCAAGGUCGUGCGAGUGUUCUGUAGCUCGGCGCUGCACCAUGGGCACAGGAUCGUCGCCCUCAUGGCCACAGCCGCAAACUUCGUGUCUGGCCUGCUUAUCCUCACCACUUUCAGAAUCGGAGGCAGUGCAUGACUGGUGACCAGUGUCCGACUUUGAUCGUCGACGCUGAUGAUGGAUUCAAGCACUCAACCAUAUUCUUGGUACAGCACCACUGGGGACUUAGCAAAACUGCUUUUUAGCCAUUAACAUCCAAGUCCUAGAUAUUGUUAUGGCAUAAAUUUUGACGGUUAGGAUUUUAACAAGGUGCAGAGCUGUGUAGGUUGAGACGACAGAGAUAAUAGUAUGCUAAAUGUGUAGACAUAGUUUGACAAUUUUGCUGAAAGAUAGUACUCCCUUUAGUAAAAAAGAUGUCCUGAAUAAGCUCUAAUAUGACAUCAUGAUUGUUACCAGUUGUUCCGAAGAACAAGUGCUACAUCAUCAGGAUUCACACCUCGUCAGAUCCAAGAUCUUUGAUUUCCUGUUGUUUGGAAGGGAUCCAUUAGUCGCCGCCACUGUUCAAGUUAGAUGUAACACAAUAUGUAAAGCUCCAUUAUUGCGAUUCAAAGACUCCAUCAUGGAGUAUUUUUUGUUGUAGCUUCUAGGUUAAUUUUUUAUGUGGUCGGCAUAACACCUAAUUCAUAAUGAAGUAAUUUUAAAUAA